rnacentral:misc_RNA from 1 species
GAUGGAUGGAGAUGAAAUGACUCGAGUUAUUUGGAAAUCUAUCAAGGAUAAGCUCAUCCUUCCCUUCCUGGAAUUGGACAUCAAAUACUUUGACCUUGGUCUUCCCCACCGUGAUGCCACAGAUGAUAAGGUUACAAUUGAAAGUGCGGAAGCCACUCAGAAGUACAACGUAGCUAUUAAGUGUGCAACCAUCACCCCAGAUGAGGCACGUGUAAAGGAGUUUAACUUGAAAUCCAUGUGGAGGAGCCCUAAUGGGACAAUCAGAAACAUCCUAAAUGGAACUGUCUUUAGAGAACCAAUUAUGUGCAAAAAUAUCCCCAGACUUGUCCCAGGUUGGACCAAACCAAUUUGCAUUGGUAGACAUGCUUUUGGAGAUCAAUACCGAGCUACUGAUACUGUUAUUAAAGGAGCUGGAAAACUCAAAUUGGUGUUUGUGCCAGAAGGAUCAGACGAGAAGACAGAAUUUGAAGUUUACAACUUUACUGGUGCUGGUGGAGUAGCUUUAUCCAUGUACAACACAGACGAGUCUGUUCGCGCAUUUGCUGAGGCUUCAAUGAACAUGGCAUUCCAAAAGAAAUGGCCGCUCUAUCUUAGUACAAAGAAUACCAUUCUUAAGAAAUAUGAUGGGAGGUUCAAGGACAUCUUCCAAGAAGUUUAUGAAGCAAAUUGGAAGUCCAAGUACGAGGAAGCUGGAAUCUGGUACGAACACCGUCUUAUCGACGAUAUGGUUGCUUAUGCUUUAAAGAGUGAAGGUGGUUA